CCUACGGGGGGCAGCAGUGGGGAAUAUUGCGCAAUGGGCGAAAGCCUGACGCAGCGACGCCGCGUGAGGGAUGAAGGUCUUCGGAUCGUAAACCUCUGUCAGCAGGGAAGAACGGUCACUGUGCUAAUCAGCAGUGAAUUGACGGUACCUGCAAAGGAAGCACCGGCUAACUCCGUGCCAGCAGCCGCGGUAAUACGGAGGGUGCGAGCGUUAAUCGGAAUUACUGGGCGUAAAGCGGUCGUAGGCGGUAUGUCAAGUCAAGGGGGAAAUCCCCGCGGUCAACGUUGGAACUGCCUUUGAAACUGGCAAACUGGAGUGUGUGAGAGGAUAGUGGAAUUCCAGGUGUAGGAGUGAAAUCCGUAGAUAUCUGGAGGAACAUCAGUGGCGAAGGCGACUAUCUGGCACAUAACUGACGCUGAGGAGCGAAAGCGUGGGUAGCGAACAGGAUUAGAUACCCCAGUAGUC
rnacentral:rRNA from 1 species